AACGAACGCUGGCGGCAGGCUUAACACAUGCAAGUCGAGCGCCCCGCAAGGGGAGCGGCAGACGGGUGAGUAACGCGUGGGAAUCUACCCAUCUCUACGGAAUAACGCAUGGAAACGUGUGCUAAUACCGUAUACGUCCUUCGGGAGAAAGAUUUAUCGGAGAUGGAUGAGCCCGCGUUGGAUUAGCUAGUUGGUGGGGUAAAGGCCUACCAAGGCGACGAUCCAUAGCUGGUCUGAGAGGAUGAUCAGCCACACUGGGACUGAGACACGGCCCAGACUCCUACGGGAGGCAGCAGUGGGGAAUAUUGGACAAUGGGCGCAAGCCUGAUCCAGCCAUGCCGCGUGAGUGAUGAAGGCCCUAGGGUUGUAAAGCUCUUUCACCGGUGAAGAUAAUGACGGUAACCGGAGAAGAAGCCCCGGCUAACUUCGUGCCAGCCGCCGCCGUAAAAC
rnacentral:rRNA from 1 species